CGCGCGCCCAGGCCGCGCGAUCCAGCCGCGACCCAGCCGCUGUUCACCUCUGUCCAGCCCCUGUCCGGCCACCUCCGGCCACCGCCUAGCCCCGCCGGACCACCCCCCGCGUCCCCCUCGCCCUCCGCCGGCUUCCCCUCGCCGCCCUAGCCGUCGGAGCAGCCUCGGCCAGCCUCGUCCAGCAGACCCACGAAGUGGGUUUUAGCGACUUCGGGCCCGCUUUUGGGCCGUUUCCGGGCCCCGAAUCCGUGAGUCUCUUUGGGAACAAUCGUUCCUCGCGUCGCCGCCGUCAGAUUGAUCCGAUUUGCGCGCGAUUUGGUGAGUAAUCUCACUAAUCCAGGAUUAGUUGACUAAUUAUGCUUAAGGUUGGUUUAUUUUUAAUUAAUUAUGUUUAGGUUGUUAGAUUAGAAUAAAUUAGCAAUUAUUAGUCCAUUGUGAUGCGAUUUAGAUAAAUUGAUUGCGUAAUUAGCAAGUAGACGUGGUCUACUAAUUAUUGGAAGUGCCUCGGGAUUUUUCCCGACCCUUAGUGGGUUCCAAUUAGGCUUUUCGGGCCUAAGUGGAAUUUUUAGUAUUUAAAUAUUAAUUUUCGGAAUUAAAUUAAAUAAUUAUUUAUUUUCCGAAAAUUCAACUGAGAUGGCCUGGAACCGGAAUAUUAUGCUGAUGACCGUGGUGACGUCCGUUUAUUUAAUCGGGCUUUAUUUUGAGCUAAAUUGAAUUUUUAAUAUUAAUUAUUUAAUUUUCGAAAUUAAUUAUUUAAUUAAUUAUUUUUCAGAAAUUAAGAUGUUGAUGGCCGACGACUGAAAUCUAGUGCUGAUUGUCGUGGUGCAGUCCGUUUAUUUAUUUGAGCUCUACGUUGUAUGAAAUUAAAUAAAUUGUGAUGGUUUAGGGAUUUACCCUAAUUUGAUUGGAAUCGAUUGAGAUUGAAUUAUUGAUUGGUGAUUGGCCAAGUAUGUUAUUCAGCAUUUAUAAUGCUUUGUUGAGUUGAUUUAAUUAUUUGAUUGAGAAAUUGUUGGGCAUUGGUUGUCGGUAUUGAAAGUAGAUUGGUAAUCACUUGAAAGAAAACACGUGGGCUCGGUGAAUUGGAAUAUCACCCGGAGAAUGCACGUGAAUUCAGUGGUUGAAUAUGUCACUUUGGCGAAAAGGUCGCCUGAGAGAAUGCACGUGGCUCGGAGACUCGGUAUAUCGUCCUGGAGAAUGCACGUGGCUCGGUGACAGAGUUUGGCAUCUAAAAGGGCACGUGGCUCGGUGAUCUGAUGCGUCACUUUGGUAAGCGAGUACCUUAGAGAAUGCACGUGGGCCCAGGCAUCUAAAAGGACAUGUGGCUCGGUGAUCUGAUGCGUCACUUUGGUAAGCGAGUACCUUAGAGAAUGCACGUGGGUCCAGUAUUCGGAAUGGCAUCUAAAAGGGCACGUGGCUCGCUGAUCUGAUGCGUCACUUUGGUAAGCGAGUACCUUAGAGAAUGCACGUGGGUCCAGUAUUCGGAAUGGCAUCUAAAAGGGCACGUGGCUCGGUGAUCUGAUGCGUCACUUUGGUAAGCGAGUACCUUAGAGAAUGCACGUGGGCCCGGGCAUCGUAAAAAGGACACGUGGCUCGGUGGCUUGAUGUACCACCUUGGCGAAGAGGUCGCCUUAGAGAAUGCACGUGGGUCCGAGGUUUGAGGCACGUGGCUCGGAGACUUGGAAAGUCGUCCUGGAUAAUGCACGUGGCCUAGCUUUUAAAUAUCCCACAGUGGGGAUUGAAUUGUAUGACAUGUAAUCGACUAGUUCGAUUUGUUUGAAGCGAAUGGCUGUUUAUUGUGAAUUGUACUGACUUGCAGGUGGGAUCAGAGGCCAAGGUAAGUCAUCUGCCCUGUGCGUGUUUAGGCAGCCUUUAGUAAAUUGGUUUACUAAUCGGGCUUAGUGGGGUAGAACUCGCUGAGACGUAGUCUCAUCCCAGUUUGGGGAAAACCAUUUCAGGACCCCGCUGAAGAGCUGUGGAGGAGGAAUCCAAGAAGGAGAACUCGGAGGUGAGAUCUGAAGAGAAGGAUUUUUGGAAGAAGAAGAUAGUCCCGAGAGGGGCCUUGAGUACGGUCUGGAUGGAUUCAGAUCCUAUCUUCUUUUGAGAUCUCCUUUUUGAUGUGAAUAGUUAUGAAGUGAUUUAUGGUUUGUAUAAAAGUUUGGUUAUAAAUUUCAAUAUGAAAAAUAUGGCACUGCUUUUCUAUCCCGUCGUUUUAUUGUCUGGGGAUUUUAACUGCUUCCGCAUGUGCUUAAAAAUGAAAGGGUCGGCGAUACAUUGUCCUGGGAUAUCGCAUUAUAAAAUCGACCAAGUGAGACGGAUGUGUGCGUGCCUAAGGAUCGGGCCGUGACAAGACCGAUCGGUGAGGGUGACGGUGCGUUGGCUUACGGAGCUGCGAAGGUGGG
rnacentral:lncRNA from 1 species